GUGGCAUUUGACAAAAAGUAAUAACAAGCAUGGAAUAAUUUAUAGGAAUACGUUAUCUCCCCACCACGGUCACAGAAUACAAUCAGGACAUAACAUGCAAAAGAUAACUUGUACAGAUGAGUGUAUCUUGUAAUAGAGAAUUAUAUUUAGACAAAAACAUGAUACCAUGGAGCCUUUCAUUCAGUUUUUCAACACAGAGAUGAAUGUCAGGAGUGAUUUGUAACAGCAGCAAGAUUGAAAGGGAAAGUUUACGUGUUGGUGGUGAGACCUGCUAUGGUGUGUGUUUUUUGUAUAGUACCACUAACAAAAAAAAUACAGGAGGCAGAAGUGGAUGUGGCCAACUGAAAGAACAAUAUAAUGUUGUAUUGUAUUUUCUUUACUUUACUUUACUCCUUUAUUUUAAACUACUUUGACUAUUUACUGAGCUCAUUCUUUCAAUUCUUAUUUUGUGUUUUUUUUUUUUCUUUUUGGGGGGAACAUUUUAUUUUGCUGGAUCGAGCUUCAUAUUUAUUCUGCUUAUUGGAGCAUUGGAGUCAUUUAAAAAACAACAACAACAACAACAUUAAAAUGUACUCCAUAAAUAACAUUAGAAAUCCAUGAAAAAUAAACUAUGUAAGUAUAAUACAAAUGAGUUUGAAGGGGACUUGACUACCCACCAAUCACAACGCUUCUAUACUAAGCCGUUAUUAGGAGGUGGGGCUUGGCAGAUUGGCUAUUCAUCCAGAAAAUGUGAUAUUUUCUGUUUUACCUUUGCCUGUAACGCAAAUUGAAAGCAGUACUCUAGAAUCUAAAUUUGUAAUAUCAGCUUUAAAGCCCCUGUUUUUCUACAGUUAUUGGGGGGUUUCUCUUUAUGAGACACCUUCUAGAAAAUAUCUAAGCGCAAAGAUUUCUGACAUGAACCCGGACCCCAUCGGUACUAGCACACUAGGCACAGGCACUUUUGUCAUGGUGUCAUCCUGUAACUUUCAAAACCGAUGUCAGAAUAAUAAACAUACAUGUAAAAUACACAGCAGUAUAAUAUGUCUUCAUAUACAUCCAGAGAUAUUCACACAAAUCUCUUAAAGCCAUCCGUUG
ensembl:lncRNA